rnacentral:rRNA from 1 species
UUCGCCCUUAGAGUUUGAUCCUGGCUCAGGAUGAACGCUGGCGGCGUGCCUAACACAUGCAAGUCGAACGGAGCUGCUUUGAUGAAGUUUUCGGAUGGAUUUAAAACAGCUUAGUGGCGGACGGGUGAGUAACGCGUGGGUAACCUGCCUCACACUGGGGGAUAACAGUUAGAAAUAGCUGCUAAUACCGCAUAAGCGCACGGUUCCGCAUGGAACAGUGUGAAAAACUCCGGUGGUGUGAGAUGGACCCGCGUCUGAUUAGCCAGUUGGUGAGGUAACGGCCCACCAAGGCGACGAUCCAUAGCCGACCUGAGAGGUUGAACGGCCACAUUGGGACUGAGACACGGCCCAGACUCCUACGGGAGGCAGCAGUGGGGAAUAUUGCACAAUGGGGGAAACCCUGAUGCAGCGACGCCGCGUGGAGGAAGAAGGUCUUCGGAUUGUAAACUCCUGUUGUUGAGGAAGAUAAUGACGGUACUCAACAAGGAAGUGACGGCUAACUACGUGCCAGCAGCCGCGGUAAAACGUAGGUCACAAGCGUUGUCCGGAAUUACUGGGUGUAAAGGGAGCGCAGGCGGGAAGACAAGUUGGAAGUGAAAUCUAUGGGCUCAACCCAUAAACUGCUUUCAAAACUGUUUUUCUUGAGUAGUGCAGAGGUAGGCGGAAUUCCCGGUGUAGCGGUGGAAUGCGUAGAUAUCGGGAGGAACACCAGUGGCGAAGGCGGCCUACUGGGCACCAACUGACGCUGAGGCUCGAAAGUGUGGGUAGCAAACAGGAUUAGAUACCCUGGUAGUCCACACCGUAAACGAUGAUUACUAGGUGUUGGAGGAUUGACCCCUUCAGUGCCGCAGUUAACACAAUAAGUAAUCCACCUGGGGAGUACGACCGCAAGGUUGAAACUCAAAGGAAUUGACGGGGGCCCGCACAAGCAGUGGAGUAUGUGGUUUAAUUCGACGCAACGCGAAGAACCUUACCAAGUCUUGACAUCCCUUGACGAACAUAGAAAUAUGUUUUCUCUUCGGAGCAAGGAGACAGGUGGUGCAUGGUUGUCGUCAGCUCGUGUCGUGAGAUGUUGGGUUAAGUCCCGCAACGAGCGCAACCCUUACUGUCAGUUACUACGCAAGAGGACUCUGGCAGGACUGCCGUUGACAAAACGGAGGAAGGUGGGGAUGACGUCAAAUCAUCAUGCCCUUUAUGACUUGGGCUACACACGUACUACAAUGGCGUUAAACAAAGAGAAGCAAGACCGCGAGGUGGAGCAAAACUCAGAAACAACGUCCCAGUUCGGACUGCAGGCUGCAACUCGCCUGCACGAAGUCGGAAUUGCUAGUAAUCGUGGAUCAGCAUGCCACGGUGAAUACGUUCCCGGGCCUUGUACACACCGCCCGUCA